CAUGCAGGAUUCUUGCUCUAUGUCUGGUCCACCCUUUUUCUGGCUGUGGUGCCUCCAUUGUCCUAACACUCUUCAGCAACCUGUCAAGAUCUUUAUAUGGUGGCCACCAGGACUUGGCAGCUGGUCCAGUCGUCCCUUCUCCCUCAAACUCCACGAUUAGAAAUCAACUGUUGUUGAGAGGUCAUCCACUAAAUGAAUGCCAAGUGUAGAGGAUGGCAGUGGAUAGUCAAAAAAGGAUUCCUGGUGGUUGAAGAGUGUGUUGGCUUGUUCUCAACUCUUUAUAUUGUGCAUCAUGGAAGGAUGCAGGAUGCAGGAAGAGGACCAGUCGCAUGUGGUUUUUUGAGCAGAUGUGGCCUGGUUUUGCAUUUCUGAGAGUCUUUUUAUUAUUUGACUGAGUGGGCAUGUUGGUUUCCUCAGAAGUCUUUUGAGUUUGUUUAGGUGAUUCUCAUACUUGAAAGCAGUUGUCAAGGACACCAUGCUUUUUCGCAUCAUCUGCAAGAUGUACAAGGCAGAGUGCAUUGUAGGACAAGAAUUGUGGACCAUACAGUUGACCAAAGUGAGAGACAACGAGCACCACCUACAAGUCAGAGGACCCAUCUUCAGCCACAAGAGAAGAAGCUGUCUCAUGAUGGUGCAUGUAGUCGAGGGGGAAACCAGAGACCAUGUUUAGGGAUGUUUCUUCAAGAGUGUCUCUAGGAUGGGCCAGAACUGUGUUGCUGAGCUCUUAUAGAGUGGCAAACCAUCAAUGCUGACCUGAAGCUCAAAACGUGUGAAUGUUGCGCAGAAUGUCAACAAAUGUUGAGCAAUGAAUUCAAUGCCACAUGUGUAAUUUUGUGUUCAGUAGCCCAGGAUGCCAAAUCAUCAUCUAAUGAAUUUGGAUCUGAUUCUGAUUCUGUGUCUGAUUCACUGUCAUCAGGAACACAUCUUCAGUCUCAUCAACAUGAGAGAGACAGUCCAUGAAUGUAUCUUCAUCAUCAUUUUGACCUUGAAUGGUUUUACUGUGCAUCCAACCCAAUUCUUUCCCCCAAGUUGUUGCCUGUAUUGUCUGCAGUUGCUGAUCCACCUUGUCCUUUGCUUUCCGUCUCAGUGUCCAAUAGGAUGGUUCAUUUGAAGCCAUAGUAUUAAGACCUUAAUACAAACAACCCUAUUUUUUGUUUUUUGUUUACUGGCCUACCAAGUCAUAUGCAUGAACAUAAUGUACAUACCUUUAGUUGGUUGACGGAUGGUAAUGGAUAACUUUCUGUAGUCAAAUUAAACAAAGGAAAUAGUUAAAUGCAAAAAUUUAAAAUAACUACAUAAAAAAUAAACAAUUACAUAUCUAAA